rnacentral:rRNA from 1 species
CGGAGGUGCAAGCGUUAUCCGGAUUUAUUGGGUUUAAAGGGUCCGUAGGCGGAUUAAUCAGUCAGUGGUGAAAUCUCAUAGCUUAACUAUGAACUGCCAUUGAUACUGUUAGUCUUGAGUGAUGUUGAAGUUGCUGGAAUGUGUAAGUGUAGCGGUGAAAUGGCUUAGAUAUUACGCAGAACACCAAUUGCGAAGGCAGGUGACUAACAUCAACUGACGCUGAUGGACGAAAGCGUGGGGAGCGAACAGGAUU